rnacentral:tRNA from 1 species
AAUUCCACGGGAUGGGGGGCUUGUUUUGAAGUCAAACCCAAGGCGUUCGAAUCGUCUGUUU